rnacentral:misc_RNA from 1 species
GUAGGUGAACCUGCGGAAGGAUCAUUACAAAUCGAGAUGGGGGGAUUGGAUGAUGAUGGAUAUAUUGUCCAUUGUUGUCCAUCACCUUAUUCAUUGGCACCGGGGCGCGAGCCCCGAUGUGUUUACGCUUGCAUGUUUGACAGAUUUAGUGUACGACCGAAAUGACAACUUUUAACAAUGGAUCUCUUGGCUCUUGCAUCGAUGAAGAACGCAGCAUCUGACUGACUUCAGUACGAGGCAUCUCGUAUGC